UUUCAACUAGUUUCAUUUCCGGAUAGCACUUUAAGCUCCCAUUUUAGUAUAAUAACUCUUUUUAGGGAUUAUAACUUCCGUCACCAUGAUGUAUCGCUGUGGUACGAAAGGAUUGGGAUCAAGUUAUGCAGAUUGUUGAGAGCAAUAUGAUGAGGGAAGGCAGGAAAGACUGAGUCUUAUAGUCUGGUAAUGUACAAGAAAUGUUUAAAACACCUACUUUUUUAAUCAUGAUUUUCCAAUAUGAUUUUAUGUGUAUUGUGAUCCUAAAAUUGGACUUUUUUCUUUAUUGGAUUUUUUGGAAUAUUUAACUGCUUCAGACUUUAUAUAAUAUCACGACAGUAAAGCAAACCACAAAGUAUGUUUUAAUAUAUUUUGCCUAAUACUAUCGUACAGGCCAUCCAUAUAGCAUACUUUUGUUGUAAAAAAACAUGUUAAUAUUUGCACAAUAGGUUUUAAGACUUUGAUUUUUUGAAAGUGAUCAACAAAAGAAAAAAAAAUCAUAGAAUUUUCUUUUAUAUUAUGAUUUUAUUACUCAUGGCAAAAUGGUGUUCGAGAGGUGGCGAAUAAGGAUUUUCUUGCAGCAUUGAAGAACGAUAAUAUGCAAAGAACAGAAAGAAAGGUUCUCUUAACAUAGAAAGUAAAGAAAUAAUGAAGUUCACACUACAGUUGUCAAUCUGGAUGUGUUUCCUUUGUUAUUUGAACACGAUUUAUUUUAACUUACAUAACAAGUAUGUUCUACAAUAAUGAAUAUCUAUAUUAAUAGUAAUGAUAUUCCAUUAAACAUGGACAUGGAAAAAAAAUUCUUUGACAGUGCAAGAUAAGAUAAAUCCAGACAUAGUCAGAUUCUUCAGUUAACUUGGAUGUGUUCCAUUUGUUUCAUCCACAUACUUGAAAUUUGUCUUGUAACUACAUGUACUUUUAUGAGGUUAAGUGGUUAGUAAUCAACCUUUAUCAUAACAUUUUCUUAUUUUGGGAUAGUAUGUAUUUAUGUUGACACUAUGUGUACCUUCAUUCUAUUCAUUUUUCUGUACGAAACAAGACCAAAUGUGUCAUUUUAGUUUAACCAUUUUAAACUGUAUUUAUUAUACUCUUCAUUGAAUAGCUAUUUGUUGAAUAGCCAUUCGUAUAUUAUCAAACAUUUUAACAAAUUUAAAUGUGUUGUUAUUUUGAUUAUAUUGUAUCGGUGUCAUAGGGUACAUGUCCAUUCCUAACCUUCAAGAUAAAACAGAUAUAUUCUUUGUUGAAAAAAUGUGUUCUUUAUGCAUAUACAUAUAGAGUGGCUACAGAGAACUCGACACUUACCAUUUUUCUUACAAAAUAUCUAAGGGGUUUCCUGCAUGUGGUUGCUACAUUCAGUGUACCUUAUGUUAUAUAAUACAUUAUAUAUGAUCAAUAAAACAGAUUAAGA